rnacentral:rRNA from 1 species
CACGUAGUUAGCCGUGACUUUCUGGUUGGAUACCGUCACUGCGUGAACAGUUACUCUCACGCACGUUCUUCUCCAACAACAGAGCUUUACGAGCCGAAGCCCUUCUUCACUCACGCGGUGUUGCUCCAUCAGGCUUGCGCCCAUUGUGGAAGAUUCCCUACUGCUGCCUCCCGUAGGAGUAUGGACCGUGUCUCAGUUCCAUUGUGGCCGAUCAGUCUCUCAACUCGGCUAUGCAUCAUCGCCUUGGUAAGCCGUUACCUUACCAACUAGCUAAUGCACCGCAGGUCCAUCCCAGAGUGAUAGCCAAAGCCAUCUUACAAACAAAGCCAUGUGGUCUUUUGUUGUUAUGCGGUAUUAGCAUCUUGUUUCCAAAUGUUACUCCCCCGCUCCGAGGGCUAGGUUACCUACGUGUUACUCCACCCGUUCCGCCACUCACUGGUGACUCCAACGUCAACUUCAGGUGACGAAGCCAACCGAUCUAAAGUUUCGGUUCGGGCCUAAGUCGGUACCGG